AGCAGCCGCGGUAAUUCCAGCUCCAAUAGCGUAUAUUAAAGUUGUUGCAGUUAAAAAGCUCGUAGUUGAAUUUCGGGAUCAGUACGCUGGUCAUGCCUUUGGUAUGCACUGGUGUCACUGGUUUCUCCCUUCUGAAGAUCCGUGAUGUCAUUAAUUUGGUGUCGCGGGGAAUCAGGACUGUUACUUUGAAAAAAUUAGAGUGUUUAAAGCAGGCUCACGCUUGAAUACAUUAGCAUGGAAUAAUGAAAUAGGACGUUUGACCCUAUUUUGUUGGUUUCUAGGAUCGACGUAAUGAUUAAUAGGGAUAGUUGGGGGCAUUAGUAUUCAAUUGUCAGAGGUGAAAUUCUUGGAUUUAUUGAAGACUAACUACUGCGAAAGCAUUUGCCAAGGAUGUUUUCAUUAAUCAAGAACGAAAGUUAGGGGAUCGAAGACGAUCAGAUACCGUCGUAGUCUUAACCAUAAACUAUGCCGACUAGGGAUCGGAUGAUGUUAAUUUUAUAAUGACUCAUUCGGCGCCUUA
rnacentral:misc_RNA from 4 species